UAGGGAAUCUUCGGCAAUGGACGAAAGUCUGACCGAGCAACGCCGCGUGAGUGAAGAAGGUUCUCGGAUCGUAAAACUCUGUUGGUAGAGAAGAACGUUGGUGAGAGUGGAAAGCUCAUCAAGUGACGGUAACUACCCAGAAAGGGACGGCUAACUACGUGCCAG
rnacentral:rRNA from 1 species